GCUUGAGAAGCAAAUGACCUGCCUCUUGCCUCCGUCGUGGGAGAAUCAGCACUCGGGCCCUUGACCUCCCUGUACUUUGGUGGGGUCUAGGUGCAGGCAGUUACAGUCUCCUGAAGAGAGGCCUAGGGCUUGCAGUCCCUCUGCCACGCGACUUAGCUGUUGGCUAAGUCCUGAGCCUGCCCAAGGCAGGAGAGGAGCCAGGGAAGAGAAAGGCGCUGGCUAGCAUGGCAGGAGAAUGAAGGCCGUCCAUCACCCCUCGUCCAUCCAUCGUCCACCCACCCGCCCCCCGGGUCAGCAGCCGGUCCGUAGCGUCCUCCGUGUGCCAAGUCUGGGCAAAUUCCGCAGGCGGAGUGGAGACCCGAGGCAGAGCCCGUGGACUCUCAGGGGACCCACAGAUUAAACAAACAUGCCGCAGAAAGAAACGCAUCGCUGAGUGCUGAGAGCCGCCCAGGAUGUAACCAGGCCUCUCCCUCUCGGGGUGCUCCCGGCCCCAGGGAGCUCCGGGCAGAAACCCUGCAGAGAGCACCCAGGGCUUGGCCUCAGGGGACAGGGGCUUUGAGAAAAGCAGGAAUACUCCCCCAGGGAGUCAGGCAGCUUGGUGAGGCUGCAGCCAGGCCACCUGACCACUGCGACCACUGACCACUGCGAGGAGAAGCCCUCCAGGGGGCCUUGUCUGCAGCAGGAGGUGGGAAAAUGGAGUCCCAGAGAGCAACGGGGGAGCUGUAAUUCACCAGGCUACGAGCAUCUAAAUCAAUGAACUAAUUAAUGAGUAAACGAGUGUGAGUAAUGAUGAAUGGCUGACCUAGAGGGUGGGAGGGGAGGCCAUUGGAGGAGUGAGAGACUGCAGGGGCACAGCAGGGUGACCGGGAGGGUGAGGUCCUCCUUCCUCCCAUCCGUACCUCGGUCCACCUCCAGCUUCCAGGAAAAAGGCCCCUUUGCUGUCCUCUCAGGGAGAAUCCAGACUCUCUGCCAGGCUGUUGCCUAGCAACAGUGCCCUGCCUGGCCAGCCCCGCCCUCUCAGUGGGCCAGGGCCGGGGUGCGCAGCCAACCCGGGGGCCUGGCCACUGGCAGGCAGGGAACGGGGGACCCGGGCUCCCAAGCUGAGGACAAGGAUGUCAGAGAUCGGGGAGGAGGCCGGGGUGGGCCUGAGGCCGGGCCAGGACCCCCGAGGAAAGACCACGUGGAGCAGCCGUGACUCUGGCACAGGUCCCGGAACAGGGAGGGCGGAUGCAGGAUCCCACAGGCCUUGAGUCUCAAGUCCUGGGUUUGAGUGGACCCUGGAGCAGUCACUUCCCUCCACGGCUGGCGUGAGGAGGGAAGGCGCACAGCGGGCGUGGAGCAAGCCAGCUGCUUUCAUAAGCAACGAGGGGACAGGACGAUGUGCCUGCAGCCCUGGGUCUGCAGGGCCCCUGGGGAGCAGCCCCUCUCCGGCCAGGCCCUGAAGGACUUCUCCAGGUGGAAAUGGGGUGGGGAGAGGGGCAAUUCCUGGCAGAGGGAACAGCUGGAAGCCUGAAGCUGAAGUGCAUCUCAUAAUAGCUCAUGUUUGCGAAUGGCCAGGCACAUUUGCAUUGAACCCUCACCGCAGGCCACGAGGCCGGAACGUGUGCUCCCAUUUUGCAGGAAAGGGAGUGUGGGCUCAGAGACCAGCAGGGGUACUGGGGGUCACACAGCAGGUGAGCCAACUCCAGCUGCCUUUCCCCUGAAUUCCUCACAGGAAGAAGAGGCUCACCUAGGGGGAGCAAGAGUGAGAAAUGUGGCCACACAGUGUGCAGGGACACCCUGUGUGCGACUGGUGAAUUUCGAAAUCUGGGCAGGGGCAAUGGGGAGCCAUUGAUGGUUUCUGAGCUGGGAGAGGAUGGCCCAGGCCAGGUCCUCAGGUCCCUCGGUGCUGCCCCGGGCCAUCUGUCUCCACCUCCUACACUCUGCCACUCUUUGCAUCCAUGUCCCCCACCCUCCGCCCCCACUGCCUCUCAGCCACUGUGAGGAACCAUGUGUGACGGUGGAGAAUGUAAAAAUAUACGAAAAACAACAAGGGCGACUGCGCUCGGCUAUAAAUACCCUGACGGCGGAAUCGCUCCUCCAGUCCCCUUCCUGCUGCCUGAGGAGCGGGGGCUUGGUGUUCGGCAGGUGGAGAGGGGGACUCAGGAAGGGAGGAAGGAACGGGAAUGACCGCUUGCAGACCUACUUUGUGCCAAGCGCUUUGCAAGCCUUACGUCACCGAGUCCUCACGAAACCCUGACAGUGACUCACUCCUGAUCCCCUCUUUACAGAUAAGGAAACUGAAGCACGACAAGUAGGUCAUCUGGCCAAGGCCACUCAGUCACACGGCCUGGGAGGGAGCCGGGCAGCUGGAGCUCCUGCAAGCUCCACCUGGCGGGAGAGGCCAAGCCGGCCUCCGGCCAGCUCUGCCAGCAGAGGAGGCCGCCUGGGGUCCCUCCAAGGCCCGAGAGGGCCCACGGUCCCAGGUGCCCGCGGCUUCCACCCCUUCCAUGGCUCCCCAUCGCCCUGGGCCAAAGGACAUGCUCCUGGGUGCGGCCCUGGGGUGCUGUGGUCUGCCCUGUGCCCACGUCCCUGUGGGUGCCCGGGGCUCUGAGCCGCGGCCACGUGGACCCUCUAAGGGGAGCUUCACAGGACUGAGCCUCUCUCUGUCGGUCCUUGCCACUUCAUUUUCCGGGGCUACGUCACCCUUGGUGCCACCUCCUCAGGGAAGACACCAGGCUUCCUCCACUGCCCUGAGGGCCCUCCCCCAGGACCCCAGGCCCGGUCCCAAUCUUGAGGGCUUCUCAGUGGCCAGGGGAGGAAGGUGCCUCCUCUGGUGAGUGGCCAGGGCUGUGGUGGCAGCAGUGUGACCUGGCCUUGGAGACCGGCUGGAGGUGUGGGGUGCAGGGCCCUGGAGGGGAGUCAGCACUGGGGCGCUGGGAAGAGGAAAGAAAAUGGAGGCGGGAGGGACGCGAAGGGACUCCUGGGGCCCCUGCUGGGGGACGCACAGGGUGCUGACCGAGGACAGAAAUGAACUGGCUCCAUCUCUUGGCCUUCAUCCUGCUCCCGGCCCAUUCCCCCUCUGGCCAGGGGGCUGAAAGGCGAGUGGGAGGUCGUUCCCUUCAGGCCGUCCCCCCCCCCCACCCCAGGGCCAGCGCAGCCCACGGAAAGAUCACGGGAGCCGCUGGAGCAAGUUGGAAUUUUAACUUUCCAGGAGUCCCUUUUUAAAAAAAUAAAGGAAAAGCAAAUUGAA